UUACCUGGUUUGAUCCUGCCAGUAGUCAUAUGCUUGUCUCAAAGAUUAAGCCAUGCAUGUCUAAGUACAGGCCGAACUAAGGCGAAACCGCGAAUGGCUCAUUAAAUCAGUUAUGGUUCAUUGGAUCUUACCUCAUCCUACUUGGAUAACUGUGGUAAUUCUAGAGCUAAUACAUGCGAGCAAGCCCCGACCGGCGACGGGAAGGGCGCUUUUAUUAGAUCAAAACCAAUCGGGCUCUCGGGCCCGUGCCCCAGUGGUGACUCUGAAUAACUUUGUGCCGAGCGCACGGUCCUGGUACCGGCGCCGCAUCCUUCAAGUGUCUGCCUUAUCAGCUUUCGAUUGUAGGUUAUGCGCCUACAAUGGCUAUAACGGGUAACGGGGAAUCAGGGUUCGAUUCCGGAGAGGGAGCCUAGAAACGGCUACCCCAUCUAAGGAAGCAGCAGGCACGCAAAUUACCCACUCCCGGCACGGGGAGGUAGUGACGAAAAAUAACGAUGCGGGACUCAUUCCGAGGCCUCGCAUCGGAAAUGAGUACACUUUAAAAUCCUUUAAACGAGGAUCUAUGGAGGGCAAGUCUGGUGCCAGCAGCCGCGGUAAUUCCAGCUCCAAUAGCGUAUAUUAAAGUUGCUGCGGUUAAAAAGCUCGUAGUUGGAUUCGAGUCACGGAGCGAGGGUUCACCGCCCGGUGCUUACUCUCCGCCAUCCGGACGUUGUGGUCGGCGUGGCACGGGGUGCUCUUCACCGAGUGUCCCGGCGCCGCCGACGAGUUUACUUUGAAAAAAUUAGAGUGCUCAGAGCAGGCCGUUCCUGACGCGCCUGAAUAGUUGUGCAUGGAAUAAUGGAAUAGGACCUCGGUUCUAUUUUCCGUUGGUUUUCGGAACCCGAGGUAAUGACUAAUAGGAACAGUCGGGGGCAUUCGUAUUGCGACGUUAGAGGUGAAAUUCUUGGAUCGUCGCAAGACGAACUACUGCGAAGGCAUUUGCCAAGAAUGUUUUCAUUAAUCAAGAACGAAAGUUAGAGGUUCGAAGGCGAUCAGAUACCGCCCUAGUUCUAACCAUAAACGAUGCCAACUAGCGAUCCGCCGGCGUUAUUCCCAUGACUCGGCGGGCAGCUUCCGGGAAACCAAAGUUUCUGGGUUCCGGGGGAAGUAUGGUUGCAAAGCUGAAACUUAAAGGAAUUGACGGAAGGGCACCACCAGGAGUGGAGCCUGCGGCUUAAUUUGACUCAACACGGGGAACCUCACCAGGCCCGGACACCGAAGGAUUGACAGAUUGAGAGCUCUUUCUCGAUUCGGUGGGUGGUGGUGCAUGGCCNUUCUUAGUUGGGGAGCGAUUGUCUGGGUUAAUUCA
rnacentral:rRNA from 1 species